CCUUGAUGUAGAUGUCUCAUAGCUCACAAAGGAGCAGGGCUAUUUAAAUAUUCAGGGAGCAAGCAGUGCCAGUGAGAGCAGAAGAGACCUUCCCCUUUAAAUGGGUGAAGGCCCAAUCUGCUCCAAAUGUAAAGAGGGAAAGGAGACAAGAAACCUGCUGUGGAAUAGGGUACGUGGCAAAACUCAAAGAGAGAUCUGAGAAGGACAGAAAGCAGGCAAAUCUCAAAAAUGUCUACUACUAAAAAAUCUGGGAAAAUUAUUAGUAAUAAAAUGAAAAAUGGAGCAGUAAUGCAAAAUCCCAUUGCUCUGCCCCGUUAUUGUGGCCCAAUUUCUGAUUAGAAGGAUUGGCAGUUCAUAUCAAUCAAACCUUUAAUUUUUUCUUCCCUUAUUUUUCCCGUUCUCCUCCUACGAUUAAGUUACAAGGAAUUUAUUUUAUUACUUAGGCACAAGUACAGUUUGAAAAAAAAAAAAAUAACAAUAAGGUAAUUUUUGUCUUUUUUCUCAUCAUGAAAUUAUUAUUCCUGGGGUUUUCUGUACCUACAGUGGGAAUAGGAGCCAAGACUCUCCUGUCAGAGCUUGCUACUAAUCCAUCAUGGUGUUGGAGAGUGAGAGGAUAGGCAGUGGUGAACAUGUUCCAGAUUGAAUAUAAGGAGAUAUAAAUUGAAUUCAUGGUUGCAUUUAUAAGGACAUAUCUGAUAAGGGCUUUGGGCCUUUGGGAGAGAGUGAGCGUUUCUCUUCAUAACACUGUAACCUUAAUCUACAGAGGAUCUUCCUUACGUUUUUUCUUAAAAUUUAACUGCGGAGCCUUAAUGGAUGUCACAUUUAGANNNNNNNNNNNNNNNNNNNNNNNNNNNNNNNNUGUGCAAAGCUGUUUGUCUCCCAGUCAGAGGCAAAUGGGAACGGCUGCUGGCAUGCCAAAGCAUUGCACUGAAGGAGACAGUCUGCAGGUAUUAGCUGGAGUGGCAAGAGCAUGGUCUGCCAAGGAACUUCUUCUGGAUAUGUCAUAUAGCAGGAAAAGGAUGCUGUUCAUGAUGGAGAUAUCCAGUUUUGGGGCAAAAUCACAAAAGUGAAGCCUUACAAAACCAGAAAACCAAGCAGAAAGAUCUUCAGCUGAUAUUGCCCUCUUUCCUCAGUAUGCAGACAGCAUUUUCUUUGAUAGAUGGAUGUGUUCCUGUGGAAAAGACUCCACCAUUCUGCUGACAUCUGAUGCCUGACAGGCAAGUUAAACACUUAAGAACUGCACAACAUUGUUUAUGUUGUGCAGUGGGUCCGUUGAAUAGCAAAUUCCUAGAAAAAUGAAGCAUUGUUCAUCCUUAGACUACUUGAGCAUGCUAAAUAAAUUCAGCUGGGAAAAAAUGUCGAAGGCA
rnacentral:lncRNA from 1 species